rnacentral:rRNA from 1 species
GGAUUGGGUGGGCCGUUCAUCGGUUCCUGGAAAUAGCUCCAUCAUGAGAUCGUACCCUAAACCGACACAGGUGGACUGGUAGAGAAUACCAAGGCGCUUGAGAGAACGAUGUUGAAGGAACUCGGCAAAAUACCUCCGUAAGUUCGCGAGAAGGAGGCCCAGUUUCUACGCAAGUAUUGACUGGGGGCACAAACCAGGGGGUGGCGACUGUUUACUAAAAACACA